AUUGGUGUAUGAUUCUUCAUAGUUUGUACUCAGAGGAUGCAUAGAAGAUUAUCCUGGGAUUUUGUUGUCAUGAUAGCAUUUUGCUGCAUGGUUAUAUGGCACAUAUAAAUGCUUUCCAAGCCUGAUGACCCAGACAAAUCCAGAGUAACAUUUUGGCAUUUUCUUAUGACCUGGAGCCUUUUUCUUUAGUCUUCUUGAGCACACUUCUAACAGUUUCUCCUUUGCAAGUUGGCGUCAGAAGGUUGUAUAUGAGUUUCUUUGACUUCUAACUUGCUGCUGAAUAUCAUGUUACCACGUCUUGUUGUAGAACACAGACAUCUUACAUGCUUAUCUUUAGUUUUAGGUCAAGUGAGGUAUAAUGACCUUGUUGAAUUGAUUUCUUAGAAACUAUUAGCUAUUAGGUAUUACAUAUAUACAUGUCUUGAUGAGAGACAAUCAUAACAACUAAUGCCUACCAUAUUUACAUGCCUAAUUAUAUACUAAUAAUCACGAAAUAUCAGGAAAUGGAUCACACCCUGUUUUUCUCUACAUUAUCAUUGUCUUGUCUACUUACAAGUGCUGAGCUGUCAAAGGUGCUAUUAAGUUUUUUCCUGCAAAUUCAUGAAUCCAGGA
rnacentral:lncRNA from 1 species